CCCUUAGAUGUUCUGGGCCGCACGCGCGCUACACUGAUGCAUUCAACGAGUUUCUUCCUGGUCCGAGAGGAAUGGGUAACCUUUUGAAAGUGCAUCGUGAUAGGGAUAGACUAUUGCAAUUAUUGGUCUUCAACGAGGAAUUCCUAGUAGACGUAGUUCAUCAGACUGCAUCGAUUACGUCCCUGCCCUUUGUACACACCGCCCGUCGCUCCUACCGAUUGAAUGCUCAGGUGACCCAUUCGGACUUUCAUCAUGCUGGUUUCCAGUUUUGAUGAAGGAAAGUCUUGCGAACCUUAUCAUUUAGAGGAAGGAGAAGUCGUAACA
rnacentral:rRNA from 1 species